AGGGGUGCCCAGCUGGAGAUCCACCACUUGCCUUGCUCCUGAGGUCUCAGAGCAUUGAUCAGCAUUCACCCGCAGCCCUGCGGAGCAUGACAGCUCGCCCUGUGCCAGGAAAGGGGAUUUCAGUUCACCACCGCAGACACACCGGUUCCAGAACGGCUCAUCACAAACAGAAGGACAGGUCUGACUCCAGAGCCGAGAGGUCCACCCACAAGAAACUGAGCAGUUUGCACAAAAAUGUGACUGAGCGUGUGACUCAUCUGAGCACAUUGCUUUCUUUCCCUGAACGUGACUUUAUUCUGCACAGCCCCAGAGAGUUACCUUUCCUCCAAGACUUCGGGAGUGCUGCUGCAACCGAGGGCCUCGUCUGGGCCGUCGUCGCGAGGGAUUCCAGACCUUGGGCAGUGGUGGACUCCCAGGCUCACCUGCGGAGAGAAGGAGAGCUGCCUUCUCGGUGGCUGGGGCCUUGGGCCCUUGGAAAUGGUGUGAUUGUGCCUCGCUGGCAAUGGGUGGUGCAGGCUGGCAUCCUUUGCUCUCUCCCUGAGUGGGUCUGGGCUCCCGAGUGAGUCAGACACCAGCUUCUCUCUGUUAUGAGUUUGGAUAGAAACUCUCCUCCCUGCCCCUGGCCCUGUGCACAGGCUUCCGUGCACACAUG